rnacentral:rRNA from 1 species
AUUGAACGCUGGCGGCAUGCCUAACACAUGCAAGUCGAACGAGACCUUCGGGUCUAGUGGCGCACGGGUGCGUAACGCGUGGGAAUCUGCCCUUGGGUUCGGAAUAACAGUUAGAAAUGACUGCUAAUACCGGAUGAUGUCUUCGGACCACAGAUUUAUCGCCCAGGGAUGAGCCCUCGUCGGAUUAGCUAGUUGGUGAGGUAAAGGCUUUCCAAGGCGACGAUCCGUAGCUGGUCUGAGAGGAUGAUCAGCCACACUGGGACUGAGACACGGCCCAGACUCCUACGGGAGGCAGCAGUGGGGAAUAUUGGACAAUGGGCGAAAGCCUGAUCCAGCAAUGCCGCGUGAGUGAUGAAGGCCUUAGGGUUGUAAAGCUCUUUUACCCGGGAAGAUAAUGACUGUACCGGGAGAAUAAGCCCCGGCUAACUCCGUGCCAGCAGCCGCGGUAAUAC